rnacentral:lncRNA from 10 species
GGGGAGACCACUAGUGUGCUGAGGGUGGAAGAAAAGGGGAAGGCGGAGCUAGGUGGGAAGUUCAUUGGAAUAGACGGUCCAGAGAAGAGAAUAUGGGUCAGAAGUCAUGAGGCUUUGGCUUAGCAUGGGCAGUGUGGAAAGCUCUAGAUCCAGUCCCCAAACUUGGCCCUAGUCCACUGACUUGUUACAUAAUCUUGGGCAAAACACUGUACCUUUUGAACUUCAGCUCUUUCACCUGUGCACAAAAGUGUUAGAUCUCCUCCACGGCCCCCUUUAGUCCUCAAGUCUGUGCUUUAGAGUGUUUUCAUGGGAGGGACCCUCCCAUCUUCUUCUGCCCCAGGGUCCCCAGUUCACCUUCUCCCAGGAGGACUUCCUGACUUCCAUCCUUCCCUCUCUCACGGAAAUCGAUACUGUGGUCUUCAUUUUCACCCUGGAUGACAACCUCACGGAGGUGCAGACUAUAGUGGAGCAGGUGAAAGAGAAGACCAACCACAUCCAGGCCCUGGCACACAGCACCGUGGGUCAGACCUUGCUGAUCCCUCUGAAGAAGCUCUUUCCCUCCAUCAUCAGCAUCACAUG